GUAGGUAGUGUAGUGGCAGCACGUUCCAUCAUAACGCGCUCCCGAGCAAUGAACUCGGGUGAAAGGUCGAGGUUGGAAAGGUCAUGGGUUCAAACCCCGUCCAGGCCA